GGGACAGUGGCUCAGUGGCAGAGCCAGAGUGGUAGAGUGCUGGGCUGAGAUCUGGAAGGCCAAGGUUCGAUUCCCCGCUCUGCCA
rnacentral:tRNA from 1 species